rnacentral:rRNA from 1 species
UACAGAGGGUGCAAGCGUUACUCGGAUUUACUGGGCGUAAAGCGUGCGUAGGCGGUUCAUUAAGUCGGUUGUGAAAUCCCUGGGCUUAACCUGGGAACUGCAGUCGAUACUGGUGAACUAGAAUGCGGUAGAGGGUGGCGGAACUCCGGGUGUAGCGGUGAAAUGCGCAGAUAUCAGGAGGAACACCGAUGGCGAAGGCAGCUCGCUGGGACGGUACUGACGCUGAGACGCGAAAGCGUGGGGAGCAAACAGG